CUCCUGUUUCUCCACCUUCUGUUUCUUUUCUUAUUGGACUCUCUGUUUCUUGGUGAAGAUAUGUACCAUUUUGAGUUUCAUGAAAAGAAGAAGGAGAAGGUGAACGAGGAGAAGGAGGUAAAGGAGAAA
rnacentral:ribozyme from 13 species